GCUUUUGUGAGAUAGUUUGUCCUGGCUCAGGGAGUUUGGUCACUUCCUUUUAGAAGGUCAGCGGCGGACGGGUGAGUAACACGUGGGCAACCUGCCUGUAAGACUGGGAUAACUUCGGGAAACCGGAGCUAAUACCGGAUAAUAUAAGGAACCUCCUGGUUCUUUAUUGAAAGAUGGUUUCGGCUAUCACUUACAGAUGGGUCCGCGGCGCAUUAGCUAGUUGGUGAGGUAACGGCUUACCAAGGCGACGAUGCGUAGCCGACCUGAGAGGGUGAUCGGCCACACUGGGACUGAGACACGGCCCAGACUCCUACGGGAGGCAGCAGUAGGGAAUCUUCCACAAUGGACGAAAGUCUGAUGGAGCAACGCCGCGUGAGCGAUGAAGGCCUUCGGGUCGUAAAGCUCUGUUGUUAGGGAAGAACAAGUGCGAGAGUAACUGCUCGCACCUUGACGGUACCUAACCAGAAAGCCACGGCUAACUACGUGCCAGCAGCCGCGGUAAUACGUAGGUGGCAAGCGUUGUCCGGAAUUAUUGGGCGUAAAGCGCGCGCAGGUGGUCCUUUAAGUCUGAUGUGAAAGCCCACGGCUCAACCGUGGAGGGUCAUUGGAAACUGGGGGACUUGAGUGCAGAAGAGGAAAGUGGAAUUCCAAGUGUAGCGGUGAAAUGCGUAGAGAUUUGGAGGAACACCAGUGGCGAAGGCGACUUUCUGGUCUGUAACUGACACUGAGGCGCGAAAGCGUGGGGAGCAAACAGGAUUAGAUACCCUGGUAGUCCACGCCGUAAACGAUGAGUGCUAAGUGUUAGAGGGUUUCCGCCCUUUAGUGCUGCAGCUAACGCAUUAAGCACUCCGCCUGGGGAGUACGGUCGCAAGACUGAAACUCAAAGGAAUUGACGGGGGCCCGCACAAGCGGUGGAGCAUGUGGUUUAAAACGAAGAAACGAGAAAGAACCUUACCAGGUCUUGACAUCCUCUGACACUCCUAGAGAUAGGACGUUCCCCUUCGGGGGACAGAGUGACAGGUGGUGCAUGGUUGUCGUCAGCUCGUGUCGUGAGAUGUUGGGUUAAGUCCCGCAACGAGCGCAACCCUUGAUCUUAGUUGCCAGCAUUCAGUUGGGCACUCUAAGGUGACUGCCGGUGACAAACCGGAGGAAGGUGGGGAUGACGUCAAAUCAUCAUGCCCCUUAUGACCUGGGCUACACACGUGCUACAAUGGACGGUACAAAGGGCAGCAAAACCGCGAGGUCGAGCCAAUCCCAUAAAACCGUUCUCAGUUCGGAUUGCAGGCUGCAACUCGCCUGCAUGAAGCCGGAAUCGCUAGUAAUCGCGGAUCAGCAUGCCGCGGUGAAUACGUUCCCGGGCCUUGUACACACCGCCCGUCACACCACGAGAGUUUGUAACACCCGAAGUCGGUGGGGUAACCUUUUGGAGCCAGCCGCCUAAGGUGGGACAGAUGCGGGGGGAAGUCUAUAGAGAGCGAGUAC
rnacentral:rRNA from 2 species